rnacentral:rRNA from 1 species
GACGGAGGGGGCAAGCGUUGUCCGGAAUUACUGGGCGUAAAGGGCGCGUAGGCGGUUAUUUAAGUCGGUUGUGAAAGCCCCGGGCUCAACCCGGGGAGGCCAGCCGAGACUGGGUAACUUGAGGGCAGGAGAGGGAAGUGGAACUGCCGGUGUAGCGGUGGAAUGCGUAGAUAUCGGCAGGAACACCCGCGGCGAAGGCGGCUUCCUGGACUGUUCCUGACGCUGAGGCGCGAAAGCCAGGGGAG